rnacentral:lncRNA from 1 species
AGUGACCCCAACAACCCGUCUGACAGAGCUGAUCACAAGCUUUAAGUUAAAGGAAACAGAAAAGGAGGCUAUAAAUAGAUCAUGAAAAGAAGAACAAGAGCUGGAUCUCAUGAAGGUACAAGGUGACUCCCAGGGCU